rnacentral:lncRNA from 1 species
AAAAAACACAAUAAUAUUAAUGUGUAUACUUUCAUUAUGUCAUCCUUCCUUCGAAACUAUGGAAGCUAUUUACAACGUGUUGGUAUGACAGGGGUUUCCCAGGGGUGUCCCAGGGGUUGACAGGGGUUUUCCAGGUGUUUUCCAGGGGUUGGGGUUUUCCUCUCCUUGCUGCUAUAAAAUACCUUCACAUAUUGUACACAUUCAUUCUUUCUUGUCUUCUUGGUAGAACGCUAAGCUACAGUGACCAGUAGUCUUCCAGACCUCAGGAUUCUAUUCUUCAGCUUUUUAGAAUGAGAUGCGUUUUUGUUCCAAACUGAUGAUUUCAACUGAUGCUCUCCUGAUGCAUGGCAGACGGCGGUGCCUGUGUCUCUGAGAACACCAUGUGAAUCCCCGUGCCUGAGAACACCAUGUGAAUCUCUGUGCCUGAGAACGCAUGUGAAUCCCAGGAACAUCCUCCAACACACCAUUCAUCAGAGAAGCCCUAUCUGUGACAACAUGUUUGUGCUAAACAAGAGCAAGGGUACCACACUCAGAUACACAUAACAGCAGCGCCAUCUAUUGGCUUGACGACAUCUCAGUGGUGAGUUUAAGGAAGACCAAUACCACCAAGAACACUCUGCCUGAAUCUAGACUCUGAAAUGGGCAAGAAGAUACAGACUGAGUGGGUCCAGAAGAACUGACCCAAACAUGAUAUGUAAACCAUGUUUUAUAGUUCCUCUUCUUCUUCUUCUUCUGAGAAACUGUGUGACCUAUCUGGCCUGGGGCAAGUUAAGGUGCUCUAUGGGCUCUAAAUUAAAAUGUUUCAUUGGUAGGACUGGUGCUUCCAACUUAAAAAAGUGAGGAGGACAAAAUAAAAUCUAGGAGAACGAGAAAAUAUUAUUUUUCUUUCAAUUCGAUUGAGAUACAGCCUAUAAUGGGGCUAUGGGAUGGGGCUAUAGGAUGGGGCUAUAGGAUGGGGCUAUAGGAUGGGGCUGUAGGAUGGGGCUAUGGGAUGGGGCUAUAUGUUGUGCCCUAGGGACUAAUAGGUACCCAUGUACAUACAUUCGUUUUUUUUAAAUAAAAAGCUAAAAUGUUGAUACAAAUACAUGUCAUUGACAUUUCAAAGUCAUUUGUGGAAUGUUAGAUUUCUACAUAGUUAGGGCUCUAAAAAAUCUGUUUCCUUUUUUGCCUAAUUCAGUUUUUUUUGUUUUUUUGUUGCCAAAUUCUGUUUUCUCAGUUUUGUUUUUACAGGUUUCUCAUUAUUCUCAUUUUUUGGGGGGGGGGGUCUAAGUUCACAACAAUAAUUAAACCACAUCAAGAGACAACUUUUGAGGUCUGGGGAAAAUCUAAAGAUAAAAAAUGUUUUUGUGUAGUUUCAUUCAAGUGUGCACCAUGGACAUAUAGCAAUAGAAUGUUUGGUUACCUGUGUUUCUGGAGCCCACGUGUGUAGAUAUUGCUAAACAUAUGCCCAAUGGAUUGAUGCAAAUAAUCAUGAUAUAUGUCUUCCAGGUAGGCAUAGGCGACAUUGUAGUUAACAUUUAAUUGAGAAGGUUUUUGGAAAAGUCUUUCCAUCUACCAAAAGGCAGUUGUCAUUAGUAUCGUCGCUCACAUCUACGCAAAGUAGACCUGCACAGCACACACACAAAGACAGGAGCAUUUCUACGUCCUGUGCAUUCAUCUUCAGAAAGUUACUUUGUAGUUAACGUUCUUGUUCACUUGUGACUUAAUGAAGCUGAGGGGGACAUGCCAGCUAAGCAGGCAGGUCAACAAUGCCAUAUGGGGGUCAGCUGACAGCCGGACAGAUUGGUCCACUCAAAAGGAUGAGCUGUGGGGCUGAGGUGACAGUGACGGGAAUCUGUGUGACAUAAUAACUGAACUGGCUGUGUUAAUUUGCCCUGUGGAUGAAGGCUAACCAGCUCUACGGACAUGGUUGGAGGAGUGUGACCUGGUGAAGACGAGGGGGACACGCCAACUAAGAAAACAGGUCAACACUGCCUUGGGGCCAGUGGACAGCUUGACAGAUUGGUCCACUCAAAGUGUGUGAGCGACGGGUCUGAGAUGACUGAAAUGAGCAUAGUGCUGGAUGUCACACUCAUUGUUACCUGGCAGUCAGGAUGCCGGCCCAGUGGAGGAAUGGGGCCACUUCUUCUUCUUCUUCUUCUUCUUCUUCUUCUAAGAGACUGUGUGACAUAAUAACUGGCUUGGGGCAUCUUAAGGUGCCCUCUGGGUGAAAGCUGAACAGCUCUAUGGACAUGUUUGGAGGUAUAGGGCCAGGUGAAGCUACGGGGGACAUACCAACUAAGAAUACAAGUCAACACAGCUAUGCGGGCCAGUGCACAGCCAUUGGAUAGGCUGGGGUAACUGCUGAGCAGGUCGCUUUGGUAGACCUUUUGUACACCGUUUGUUAGGCUGUUUGGUAGACAGAUUGAUAGGCUUUUGGUAGACAGUUUGGUAGGCCUUUGGUAGGCCGUUUGGUUGAGGAGGAUUGAUGCCACCACUUCUUUUUCAUCUUCGUAUGUUUCUUCUUCAUUUAUUAUUUUUCUUCUGAGAGACUGUGAUAUUAUAACUGGCUUGGGGCGUGUUAAGGUGCCCUCUGGGUGAAGGCUGAACAGCUCUAUGGAUAUGUUUGGAGGUGUACGGCCUGGUAAAACUAAGCGGGACAUGCCAGCUAAGAAUACAGGUCAACACAGCUAUGCGGGCCUGUGCACAGCAAUUGGAUAGGCCGGGGUAACUGCUGAGUAGGUCGCUUUGGUAGGGCGUUUGGUAAGCCCUUUGGUAGGCCGUUUGGUAGACCUUUUGAUAGGCCGUUUCAUAGAAUGCUUGGUAGUAUGUUUGCUAGGCCUUUGGUAGGCUGAUUGGUAGACUUUUGGUAGGCAGUUGGUUGGCCUUUGGUAGGCCAUUUAGUAGAGGGGGAAUGAUGCCUCCCCUUCUUCUUCUUCUUCUUCUUGCCAGUAAAGUGGAGGAGUGGGGCCACUGCUCCUUCUUCUUCUUCUUCUUCUGUUUCUUCUACUUUUAUAAUUUUUCAUCUUCUCCUUCUACAAAAUGGAAGGCCGUUUGGUAGGCCUUUUGGUAGGCUUUUGGUAGGCCGUUUGGAAGGCUGAUUGGUAGGAUUUUGGUAGACAGUUUGGUAGGCCUUUGGUAGACCGUUUAGUAGAGGGGGAAUGAUUCCACCCCUUCUGCUUCUUGUUCUUCUGUUUCUUCUGAGAGACUGUGACAUAAUAACUGGCUUGGGGCAUCUUAAGGUGCCCUCUGGGUGAAGGCUGAACAGCUCUAUGGACAUGUUUGGAGGUGUACGGCCUGGUGAAGCUAAGGGCGACAUGCCAGCUAAGAAUACAGGUCAACAUAGCUACGCGGGCCAUUUGGUAGACCUAUUGGUAAGCCGCUUGGUAGUCCAUUUGGUAGGCCGCUUGGUAUGUCGUUUGGAAAGCUGUUUGGUCGGCCUUUGGUAGACUGUUUGGUAAACUGCUUGGUAGCCCACUUAGUAGGCCCUUUGGUAAGCCGUUUGGUAGGUCUUUGGUAGUUUGUUUGAUAGGUCGUUUGGUAGUCUGUUUGGUAGGCCUUUGGUAGACUUUUUGGUAGACAUUUGGUAGGCUGUUUGGGAGGCCGUUUCAAAGCCCGCUUGGUAGUGCGUUUGGUAGGCUUUGGGUAGGCUGAUUGGUAGGCUUUUGGUAGACAGUUUAGUAGGCCUUUGUUAGGCCGUUUGGUAGAGGAGGAAUGAUGCCACCUCUUCUUCUUCUUGUUCUUCUUCUGUUUCUUCUUCUUUUAUAUUUCAGUGGAGGAAUGGGGCCACAUCUUCUGAACAGCUCUAUGGAAAUGUUUGGAGGUGUGUGGCAUGGUAAAACUAAGGAGGACAUGCCAGCUAAGAAUACAGGUCAACACAGCUAUGCGGGCCAGUGCACAGCCAUCGGAUAGGCCGGCGUAACUGCUGAAUAGAUCGCUUUGGUAGGCCUUUUAUAGACCGUUUGGUAGGGCGUUUGGUAAGCUCUUUGGUAAGCCCUUUGGUAAGGCGAUUGGUAGACCAUUUGGUUGGUCUUUUGGUAGGCCUUUUGGUAGGAUGUUGGGUGGGUCGUUUGGAAGGCUGUUUGGUAGGCCAUAUCAUAGGCCGCUUGGCAGUAAGUUUGGUAGGCCAUUUGGAAGACUCUUUGGUAAGCCAUUUAAUAGGCCGCUUGGUAGUAUGUUUGGUAGGCCUUUGGUAGACUGUUUGGUAAGCCUUUGGUAGACUGUUUGGUAGGCUUUGGUAGACAGUUUGGUUGGCCUUUGGUAGGCCGAUUAGUAGAGGGGGAAUGAUGCCACAACCUUCUUCAUCUUCUUAUGUUUCUUCUUCUUCACCUUCUUUUUCUUCUUCUUUGUCUUCUUCUGUUUAUUCUUCUUUUAUUAUUUUUCUUCUUCUUCUUCUUCUUGCCAGCCAAGUGGAGAAUUGGGGCCACUGCUCCUUCUUCGUCUUCUUCUUCUUCUGUUUCUUCUUCUUAAAUAAUUUUUCGUCUUCUUAAUCUUCUUUUUCUACCAAACGGAAGACCAUUUGAUAGGCCUUUUGGUAGGCCUUUGGUAGGACGUUUGGAAUGCUGAUUGGUAGUAUUUGAUAGACAUUUUGGAAGGCCUUUGGUAGUCCGUUUAGUAGAGGGGGAAUGAUACCACCCCUUCUUCUUCUUCUUAUGUUUCUUCUUCUUUUCUUCUUCGUCUUCUUCUGUUUAUUUUUCUUCUUCUUCUUCCUCUUCUUCUUCUUCUUGCCAGCCAAGUAUAAUUGUUCUUAUUAUUCUUCUUAUUUUUCUUAUUAUUAUUAUUUUUCUUCAACCAAAUGGAAGGCCAUAUUCUUGUUCUUCGUUUUCUUCUUGUUCUUCUUGUUCUUCUUCUUCUGUUCCUUCUUCUUUUAUAAUUUUCUUCUUCUCCUUCUACCAAACGUAAUGCCAUUUUGUAGGUUGUUCAUAGGCCUCUUGGUAGUACGUUUGGUAGACAUUUGGUUGGCUGAUUGGUAGGGUUUUGGUAGACAGUUUGGUAGGCCGAUAAGUAGAGGGGGAAUGAUGCCACGCCUUCAUCUUCUUCUGUUUCUUCUUCUUCUUCGUCUUCUGUUUAUUCUUCUUCUUCUAUCAUUUUUUCUUAUUUUUCUUCUUAUUCUUAUUCUUCUUCCUCUUCUUCUUGCCAGCCAAGUAUAGUAGUGAAGCCACAGUUCCUUCUUCUUCUUCUUCUUCUUUGUCUUCUUUGUCUUCUUCUGUUUAUUCUUCUUUUAUAAUUGUUGUUAUUAUUCUUCUUCUUAUUAUUAUUAUUUCUCUUCAACCAAAUGGAAGGCCGUGUUCUUCUUCUUUUUAUUCUUCUUCUUCUUAUUAUUCUUGUUCCUCUUCUUCUGUUCCUUCUUCUUUUAUAAUUUUCUUGUUCUCCUUCUUCUUCUACCAAACGUAAGGCCGUUUCAUAGGCCUGUUGGUAGUACGUUUGGUAGACAUUUGGUAGGCUGAUUGGUAGGCUUUUGUUAGACAGUUUGGUAGGCGGUUUAGUAGAGGGGGAAUGAUGCCACCUCUUCUUCUUCUUCAUCUUCCUAUGUUUCUUCUUCAUUUAUUAUGUUUCUUCUUCUUCUUGCCAGCCAAGUAUAGGAGUGAAGCCACUGUUGCUUCUUCUUUUUCUUCUUCUUCUUUUUCUUCUACCAAAUGGAAGGCCGUAUUCUUCUUCUUCUUCUUCUUCUGGCCAGCCAAAUAUACUAGCGGGGCCACUGUUGCUUCUUCUUCUUCUUCUUCUUCUUUUUCUUCUACCAAAUGGAAGGCCGUAUUGGGGGCCACUGCUUCCUCUUCUUAAUUUUCUUCUUUUGCCAAACGGAAGUGUCACGUCCUGGCCAGUAUAAGGUUAAUUGGUAUUGUAGUUUGGUCAGGACGUGGCAGAGGGUAUUCGUUUUAUGUGGUUCGGAGUGGUGUGUUUUGUUGAAGGGGCAUUUGGUUUAAGUUUUCUGGGGUUUUUGGGCACUGUUUGGUUUUCAGGUAUUCUAUGUUUAGUCUAGUAUGUCUGGUUCUAUGUUUGGUUAAUUGGGGUUGGGACUCUCAGUUGAAGGCAGGUGUUGUCUAUCUGCCUUUGAUUGAGAGUCCCAUAUAUGAGGGGGUGUGUUUGUGUUUGUUAUUUGUGGGUGAUUAUUCUGUGUUUAGCCUUGUGCCUUACCAGACUGUUUUUGUUGAUCAUUCGUUCUUUGUUAUUUUGGUGUUCAUUUUGUAUUUAUUAAAAAGCAAGAUGAGCAUACACAUACCUGCUGCGUUUUGGUCCUCCAUUUCCAACGACAAACGUGACAGGAAGACCAUUUUGGAAGGCCUUUGGUAGUCCGUUUAGUAGAGGUGGGAUGUUGCCUCCUUCUUGUUCUUCUUCUUGCCAGCCAAAUAUACUAGCGGGGGCCACUGUUGCUUCUUCUUCUUCUUCUUCUUCGUUCUUCUUUUUGCCAGCCAAAUAUACUAGCGGGGGCCACUGUUGCUUCUUCUUCUUCUUCUUCUUGCCAGCCAAAUAUACUACUGUGGCCACUGUUGCUGCUUCUUCUUCUUCUUCUUCUUCUUCUUCUUCUUCUUCUUCUUCUUCUUCUUCUUCUUCUUCUUCUUCUUCUUUUUUUUUUUCUUUUCUUCUUUUCUCUUCUUCUUCUUCUUCUUCUUCUUCUUCUUCUUCUUCUUCUUCUUGCCAGCCAAAUAUACUAGUGGGGGCCACUGUUGCUUCUUCUUCUUGCCAGCCAAAUAUACUACUGUGGCCACUGUUGCUUCUUCUUCUUCUUCUUCUUCUUGCCAGCCAAAUAUACUACCGUGGCCACUGUUGCUUCUUCUUCUUCUUCUUCUUCUUCUGCCAGCCAAAUAUACUAGCGGGGCCACUGCUGCUUUUGUUAGACAGUUUGGUAGGUGGUUUAGUAGAGGGUGAAUGAUGCCACUUCUUCUUCUUCAUCUUACUAUGUUUCUUCUUCAUUGAUUAUGUUUCUUCUUCUUCUUCUUGCCAGCCAAGUGGAGGAGUGGGGACACUGAUCCUUCUUCUUUUUCUUCUUCUUCUUGCCAGUCAAGUAGAGGAGUGGGGCCACUGCUCCUUCUUCAUCUUCUUCUUCUUCUGUUUCUUCUUUUAUCAUUUUUAAUCUUAUAACAAACGGAAGGAUGUUUGGUAGGCCUUUUGGUAGACAGUUUGGUAGGCCUUUGGUAUACUGUUUAGUAGAGGUGGGAUGUUGCCACCCCUUCUUCUUCUUCUUCUUCCUCUUCUUCUUCUUCUUCUUCUUCUUCUUCUUCUUCUUGCCAACCAAAUAUACUAGUGGGGCCACUGUUGCUUCUUCUUUUUAAAUAAUUUUUCUUCUUCUUCUUCUUCUUUGUCUUCUGCUAUUUAUUCUUCUUUUAUAAUUGCUCUUAUUAUUCUUAUUAUUUUUCUUCUUCUUCUACCAAAUGGAAGGCCGUAUUCUUCUUCUUCUUCUGUUCUUUCAUCUUUUAUAAUCUUCUCCUUCUUCUUCUACCAAACGUAAUGCCGUUUGGUAGGCCGUUUCAUAGACCUCUUCGUAGUGCGUUUGGUAGACAUUUGGUAGGCUGUUUGGUAGGCUUUUGGUCGACAGUUUGGUUGGCCUUUGGUAGGCUGAUUAGUAGAGGUGGAAUGAUGCCACCCCUUCUUUGUCUUCUUCUUCAUCUUCUUCUGUUUCUUCUUUUAUAAUUCAGUGGUGAAAUGGGGCCACGUCUUCUGAACAGCUCUAUUGACAUGUCUGGAGGUGUGUGGCCUGGUAAUACUAAGUGGGACAUGCCAGCUAAGAAUACAGGUCAAAACAGCUAUGCGGGCCAGUGCACAGCCAUUGGAUUGCCCGGGGUAACAGCUGAGUAGAUCGCUUUGCUAGGCCUUUUGUACACCGUUUGGUAAGACCUUUGGUAGACCAUUUGGUGGGUCGUUUGGUAGGCUUUUGGUAGACAGUUUAGUAGGCCUUUGAUAGGCCAAUUAGUAGACGGGGAAUAAAGUCACCCCUUCAUUUUCUUAUGUUUCUAGUUCUUCUCCUUUUUCUUCUUCAUUGUCUUCUGUUUCUUCUUCUUCUUCUUGCCAGCCAAGUGGAGAAUUGGGGCCACUGCUCCUUCUUCGUCUUCUUCUUCUUUUGUUUCUUCUUCUUUCAUAAUUUUUCUGAACGGGUAGGUCACUUGCGAUACCUCUCCAACUCGUUUUAGUGGAGGUCUGCUUGGGUGAGUGUAUAGCUUUUGAUAAUACUUUGACCCAGGGUGGCAACAUAUUUUCAAAAUAGUAAAAUUCUAUGGGUACCGCUCCAAUUUGAUUUAGCGGAGAUUUGAACGGGUAGGUCACUUGUGAAACAACUCCAACUUGUUUUGGUGGAGGUCGUUAUGGGUUAGUAUUCAGCUUUUGAUAAUACUUUGACCCAGGGUGGCAACGUCUUUUCAAAAUAGUAAAAUCCUAUGGGUACCGCUCCGACUUGAUUUAGCGGAGGUCUGAACCGGUAGGUCACUUGCAAUUCCUCUCCAACUCGUUUUGGUGGAGGUCUGCUUGCGUGAGUGUAUAGCUUUUGAUAAUACUUUGACCCAGGGUGGCAACAUAUUAUCAAAAUAGUAAAAUCCUAUGGGUACCGAUCCGAUUUGAUUUAGGGGAGGUCUGAACUGGUAUGUCACUUGUGAAACAACUCCAACUUGUUUUGGUGGAGGUCGGCAUGGGUUAGUGUAUAGCUUUUGAUAAUACGUUGACCCAGGGUGGCAACAUAUUAUCAAAAUAGUAAAAUCCUAUGGGUUCCGCUCCGACUUGUUUUAGUUGAGGUCUGCCUGUGUGAGUGUGUAGCCUAACGCUUUGACCCGAUUAAGCAAUGGACAGACAGCAGUGACCCCUUAUGUUUCUUCUUCUUCUUCUCCCUUUUCUGUUUAUUCUUCUUUUAUAAUUUUUCUUAUUUUUCUUCUUAUUCUUCUUCUUCCUCUUUUUCUUCUUCUUGCCAGCCAAGUAUAGGAGUUGCUACACGGUUCCCUCUUAUUCUUCUUCUUCUUCUUCUUUUUCUUCUACCAAAUGGAAGGCAGAAUAAUUCUUCUUCUUUUUUCUUGUUCUUCUUCUUCUUAUUCGUCUUCUUUUUAAAAUAAUUUUCUUCUCCUCCUUCUUCUUCUACCAAACGUAAGGCCAUUUGGUAAGAUGUUUCUUAGGGCUCUUGGAAUGAUGCCACCCCUUCUUUUUCUUCUUUUUCUUCUUCUUAAACGUAUUUGUCUAAGAGAGUCCAAUUUCUAAGAGAGUCCAAUGCUCGCUGCAUCCAGAAAAGGUCUCCUUGGGCAUGUCACUAUUGAAUAAGCCCUGGAUGAAUACUACAAGAGGUGAUUUUUCUACAACAAUUUUGGUGCCGUGACCCGGAUGGAAGGGAGACUGGCCGUCCUGGCCGGAACCUAGACAUCUCUUCAGUAUACCACAAAUAGUGGUAAAGGGACCUUUUAAAAGAUACUGUUGUUCGGUCAGGUGGGGUGGCUUAGGCUCUUCUCCUCUCCAUCCAUCUAUUGGAGUAAAAUUCUCGAGACUGUUAAAUGCAUUCUUAGAUAUAUAUAUAUAUAUAUAUAUAUGAACUGGUUCAUCAGGUAAGCUAAGGUUAAUUGGCUUCUGAAUUUGAAUCUAAGGAAAUUGAUUCUGGAGUAUUGGAACAAAAGGACAUUUGUUCCAGGGUUAGGAAGCCUAAGGUUUACUAACGUAUGUUUGAUAAUAAUAUAGACCUGAUCAUUUGUUGAAGAAAUUGACCAAUACUUUGGCGAGCUUGCCAGGAGCAUGUGACCACUUCGCUGGACUGACCAUCGAUCCACGUGCAAGCGCUACAAAAUUAUAACGUAAGCAGACACCUGUUAUAUCUAAUGUCUGUAAUUUGCUAUAGCACAUUGUGGUUAACGAGUAAUUUUGGCAAGUAAGUGGCGCCUCGCUGUUAAAUUUAUACAAACCUACAUUUCUCUGUAAUAGCGGAAUCAUUUAAAUUAUUGUUACACAACCCGCGGGAGGAAGCACAGACCACCUAGGUGGAAAUAGGUUAUACAUUCCUGGGUUAAAUGGUUAUGAUUAUGUGACUUGGUGAUAGGAUUUAGGGUGAAAUUCCAAGUAUAAAAACGCCGAAUGUUGAGAUUAUUGUGAUGAGACUUGGUGAAAGGAUUUAGGGUGAAAUUCCAAGUAUAAAAACACCGAUUGUUGAGAUUAUUGUGAUGAGACUUGGUGAUAGGAUUUAGGGUGAAAUUCCAAGUAUAAACGUCAAUUGUUGAGAUUAUUGUUUUGAGACUUGGUGAUAGGAUUUAGGGCGAAAUUCCAAGUGUAAUCGCCGACUGUUGAGAUUAUUGUGAUGAGAUUUGGUGACAGGAUUUAGGGCGAAAUUCCAAGUAUAAACGCUGAUUAUUGAAAUUAUUGUGAUGAGACUUGGUGAUAGGAUUUAGGGCGAAAUUCCAAGUAUAAACGCCGAUUGUUGAGAUUAUUGUGAUGAGACUUGGUGAUAGGAUAUAAGGCAAAAAUUCCAAGUAUAAACGCAGAUUGUUGAGAUUAUUGUGAUGAGACUUAGUAUUAGGAUUUAGGGCGAAAUUCCAAGUAUAAACACAGAUUUUUUAGAUUAUUGUGAAGAGACAUAGUGGUAGGAUUUAUGGCUAAAUUCCAAGAAUCUACGCUGAUUGUUGAGAUUAUUGUGAUGAGACUUGGUGAUAU